rnacentral:rRNA from 1 species
GGGAAAUCUUACCGGGUCCGGACGUAUCGAGGAUUGACAGAUAGUUAUACAUGCCCUACAAGCAAGUAGGAGUCAGGUUUUAAACCUAAUGGCUCUUUCAUGAUUAUAUGAUAGGUGGUGCAUGGCCGUUCUUAGUUCGUGGAGUGAUCUGUCUGCUUAAUUGCGUUUCAAAUUUUUAACCGAGGACCGGGUUUUGGUUUGGCUAGUGGUCCUACGAUGACUGUGAACUGUCAUGUCUUCGGAUGUACGACUAUCGGUCUAGGAUCACAUGACUUGCCCCUGGGACUCUUUUGAACGCAACGGACGUGAUUGCAACCCCUUGUUGAGAUUAGAGAUAGUCUCGAUAUUCACUGGCCAAACUGGCUGCUUUAUGCAGUCUUGUUGAAUGGUGGAUAAACUCGGGGGACUGCUGACUAUAACCAUUUCUCAAAACAGAGGAAGGUUGCGGCAAUAACAGGUCUGUGAUGCCCUCAGAUGUCCCGGGCUGCACACGUGCUACAAUGAGUGGCGCAAUGUGCUAAUGUUUUAAGGGAUAAGCGUGCGGCCAGUAGAACGUCGGCAAUUGCCCUGGCGUCUUCUACCGCACGAUUAUCAGCCUUCCCUUAACAGGGCGGGCAACCUUUUCAAAAUACCGGUUUGAUGUUAAAGUAUAGAGUCGUUUUUUUUGGAUGG